rnacentral:tRNA from 1 species
UCCGAUAUGGUCUAGUGGCUAGGAUUUGCCGCUCUCAUUGAGAGUCAGUUCACUGAUUGUAAGUGCCGGCAAGGCCCGGGUUCGAUUCCCGGUGUCGGAA